AAAGUCGUAACAAGGUCUCCGUUGGUGAACCAGCGGAGGGAUCAUUACUGAGUUAUCUAAACUCCCAACCCUUUGUGAACCUUACCGUCGUUGCCUCGGCGGGCUGUACUUACCCUGUAGCUACCCUGUAGCUACCCGGUAGGUGCGCUCCAAGCCCGCCGGUGGACCACUAAAUUCUAUUUUACUACUGUAUCUCUGAAUGCUUCAACUUAAUAAGUUAAAACUUUCAACAACGGAUCUCUUGGUUCUG
rnacentral:misc_RNA from 1 species